UGGGGAAUAUUGGACAAUGGGGGAAACCCUGAUCCAGCGACGCCGCGUGUGUGAAGAAGGCCUGCGGGUUGUAAAGCACUUUCGGUGGGAACGAAAUGUGCCGACCUAAUACGUCGGCAAGCUGACGUUACUCAAUGAAGAAGCACCGGCUAACUCUGUGCCAGCAGCCGCGGUAAUACAGAGGGUGCGAGCGUUAAUCGGAAUUACUGGGCGUAAAGCGCACGUAGGCGGCUAUAUAAGUCGGAUGUGAAAUCCCCGGGCUUAACCUGGGAACCGCAUUCGAGACUGCAUAGCUAGAGUACUGGAGAGGACAGCGGAAUUCCCGGUGUAGCGGUGAAAUGCGUAGAUAUCGGGAGGAACAUCAGUGGCGAAGGCGGCUGUCUGGCCAAGUACUGACGCUCAGGUGCGAAAGCGUGGGGAGCAAACAGG
rnacentral:rRNA from 1 species